ACUGCGAUUACGAUCCGGUGGAACGGCUUCUUCAGGCACUUCGGGGGAGGUUAGGGGGACCUCUUCAUAACAGGAUGGAUUUUCGCAAAAGGAACAGUGAGAUGUCUCGUUUCCCGAGGCUCCUGGACCAGCUCCAGAUGAUGUUUGACCCAUUUAAUCACUCCCCACUACUGUAAUUUUCGUUUUAAUUCAUUAACCGCGUUUUUUGGUGUUUUCAACGGCGAAAAAAAUAAGUGAAAACCGGAAAUCAACUCAUAGGACAUGUGGCGCCACCGUCUCAUUUCCGGUUUCAGUCUUGGCGUCCCUCCGAGGCAAUCGCCAGUCGGUGGAAAUUUUAACGUGUAAUCUCUCAUUUAGAAAGUGAAAUAAUGUUGAAUCUGUUAGUGAGUCCCUACAAAUACAAGAGACAAAGUUUUUGAGGGCGAAAAAAAUAAGUGAAGACCGGAAAUCAACUGAUGAACAGGUGACGCCACCGUUCCACUUCCGGUUCGUCUUGGCGUCCUCCCAGACAGUCUCCAUUCGUCGAAAAUUUUACGUGAAAUCUGAUCUGAAAAGUGAAAUCAUGUCGAAUCCGUUGGUGAAUCCCGAGAAAGUGAAGAGACAAAGCUGUUGGAGUAAUCUAGUGCGUCAUUACGAGAAGAGAAAUGCCUCAUUGGAGAGACGACAUGAAGCUCUGGCUGAACGCGUCCGUAUGAUGGAACUGGCGUUGCCUUCGGUCCUAAUGGGCGUCGCGAGUCGCGAGUGGUGUCGGUAAAACAGGUUGUGAGCCCCCAGUGAGUGGUGAAGUUUCGUGUCUGCAGGGAAGACGUUGCAAGAAGGUCGAUGGAAACUCGGAGUCGUCGGGGGAUAAUCAACAACGCAAGUUACAAUGAGCAUGUUUUUUUAUUUGAAUAAAACGUAGUCAUGCAAUCAUUCGUAAAAUCAAUCAAAAUACUUAGACUAACGUUAAACUAGUUCAAAUGUCUCGACAAAAAGUUUAAACUCGAUCCUCGGAUUAUCUGAAGUUUAUAAACUUUGAUAUUAACAAUAAUCGACUAGAGAUUACCUGAACCCUAAACCUAUCUCAUUCAUCAAAAUCGGGGCAAGUUCGAUUAAUAUAUUGAUUGAUCGCUGUAAUAGCGAGACGAUUCGCUUAGUGAUAACUAGAGAUGAUCGAUAUGACUCGAUAUAUCGUGGGAAGUACUAUAAUAUAUUGAUAUAUUCAUAUUUUUCUCUUGAUAUUGAUUUUUUCAAUUAAUAUUUCUGCAGUUGAUAUUUUUCUGUGGAUUUUUUGACGCCCAAAAGGUCGAUUUUUUUGUCGAUAAUUUUCUGGUUGAUGUAUCGAUAUAUCGAG